rnacentral:rRNA from 1 species
ACCACAGCCAUAUCACCCUGCAGCCCAAGACUGGUUGCCCACUGAAGCUAAGCAGGGCUGAGCCUGGUCAGUACUUGGAUGGGAGACCUCUUGGGAAAACUAGGUUGCUGCUGGAA